rnacentral:rRNA from 1 species
GAUGAACGCUGGCGGCGUGCCUAAUACAUGCAAGUCGAGCGAACGGACGAGAAGCUUGCUUCUCUGAUGUUAGCGGCGGACGGGUGAGUAACACGUGGAUAACCUACCUAUAAGACUGGGAUAACUUCGGGAAACCGGAGCUAAUACCGGAUAAUAUUUUGAACCGCAUGGUUCAAAAGUGAAAGACGGUCUUGCUGUCACUUAUAGAUGGAUCCGCGCUGCAUUAGCUAGUUGGUAAGGUAACGGCUUACCAAGGCAACGAUGCAUAGCCGACCUGAGAGGGUGAUCGGCCGCACUGGAACUGGGACACGGUCCAGACUCCUACGGGAGGCAGCAGUAGGGAAUCUUCCGCAAUAGGCGAAAGCCUGACGGAGCAGCGCCACGUGAGUGAUGAAGGUCUUCGGAUCGUAAAACUCUGUUAUUAGGGAAGAACAUAUGUGUAAGUAACUGUGCACAUCUUGACGGUACCUAAUCAGAAAGCCACGGCUAACUACGUG